rnacentral:lncRNA from 13 species
AUCAGAAUCAGAACACAGAUUGCCCAGUGGUGGCUAAUUAUUUGGGGUGGAUGAAACAUGGGAGAGUUUUGGAAGCCUUUAGACAUAAAUUAACUGUGAAAAGCAGGAUCUCAGUCUCAUGGGCAAAGGAAGCUGAAACACUGAAUUGCUAGCAGAGGACUCAGGACCAAACAAUAUUCCUGGAAAAUACUCCUGCGUCUUUCCCUCGUCUCCGCCUGGCCUCCAGGGCAGACAGAAUUCUCACCUUCUUCUCUAAAUAAAGCCAGGCAUGUGCAAGAAACUAGGAAGAAAACUAAGAGAAGUACAGAUCUCACCCUACUCAUGUGGAGUCUGCAGUGUUCUAGUGCCAACGUCCCCAUCAUUUCCAUGCAAUUUUCAUCCCAGCGUCAGUGACUUACUCAUGGAUCAGGCCAUCAGAGGCCUCCAAUUCCGAGCCUGGCCAUUUUAGCCUUGGUGACCCACACAUACACCUAUGGAUAGUCCCCAGGAGCCAGAAAGUCUGAAGUAACCAGGUGGCCACAGAAAGAAGUGAAACAACUUGUUCCUGCCUCAACUUAUUGCUCUGCAACCUGUCACCAUUGUUUCUGUUCAACCUUAUGAAGACUUCCCCCCAGGCACUGGGUUUCUGAAGACCCCUGCCUCUGUAACCACGUAAUCGACUGCACCCUCCCGUCUGACUGCAGCCCAUACUCCCCACCUUUGUGAUCAUGCCUGUUUGUAAUAGAUGACCCCUACCUUGUGAUCACGCAUCCCGUGACGCCCUCCCCCACCCCAGAUAGAUUACUACAUUUAGCUGACCACGUGCCCCAACCUACAUAACCAAUCCCCUCUCCUAUCCCCUUUGCCUAACUCCUUUCUUGGACUUGGUCCGCUUGCACCCAAGAGGGAAAUAAACGGCCUUGUUGCCCACA